rnacentral:rRNA from 1 species
UUGAACGCUGGAGGCAGGCCUAACACAUGCAAGUCGAGCGGUUGAGAGUAGCUUGCUACUUGAUGCAGCGGCGGACGGGUGAGUAACGCGUGGGAAUCUGCCCAGUAGUGGGGGACAACAGCCGGAAACGGCUGCUAAUACCGCAUACGCCCUACGGGGGAAAGGGGGGGAUCUUCGGACCUCUGGCUAUUGGAUGAGCCCGCGUCGGAUUAGCUAGUUGGUAGGGUAAAGGCCUACCAAGGCUACGAUCCGUGACUGGUCUAAGAGGAUGAGCAGUCACACUGGAACUGAGACACGGUCCAGACUCCUACGGGAGGCAGCAGUGGGGAAUAUUGGACAAUGGGGGAAACCCUUAUCCAGCCAUGCCGCGUGGGUGAAGAAGGCCUUAGGGUUGUAAAGCACUUUCAGUGGGGAGAAAGGUUUGUCACCUAAUACGUGAUGAAAUUGAUGUUACCCACAGAAGAAGCACCGGCUAACUCCGUGCCAGCAGCCGCGGUAACAC